CAGCAGCCGCGGGAAUACAGAGGGUGCGAGCGUUAAUCGGAUUUACUGGGCGUAAAGCGUGCGUAGGCGGCUUCUUAAGUCGGAUGUGAAAUCCCUGAGCUUAACUUAGGAAUUGCAUUCGAUACUGGGAAGCUAGAGUAUGGGAGAGGAUGGUAGAAUUCCAGGUGUAGCGGUGAAAUGCGUAGAGAUCUGGAGGAAUACCGAUGGCGAAGGCAGCCAUCUGGCCUAAUACUGACGCUGAGGUACGAAAGCAUGGGGAGCAAACAGGAUUAGAUACCCCUGUAGUCCCUGUCUCUUAUAU
rnacentral:rRNA from 1 species